GACACUGUGAGCUAGGCUCCCAUCUUUGCGAGCAUGUAUGAUGCUCCUCUUAUAACAAGCUUCUCCCUGGUUGAAAGUAAUACAUCUCCUGCGAUUUAAGUGACAGCCUUUGGAAUUGUUUCCUUUGGCUUUGGCAUAAAGAGGAAAUGUGAAUUCAACAUGAUCCGGAGUGGAAGGAACACAUUAUAUCUGAAGACUGGGUUUUUUCAUCUGGGCAGGACUUAGGAGACAGACCCCAUUAGGGACCUGAGGUUAUCCAGCUGGUAGACAAUAUGGUUAAAAUACAGAGAAGCAUAGGAUCCAAGAGAAGAACCUCUUCAUGCAUAAGGGAAGUCUGAGGUCCAGAGAGAGGAAGCAACUUGCCAAGUUUACACAGACCAUCUGACAGACCAAUAUCCAGCAGAACAACACAUUGGAAAAUAGCAUGCGAAAUGAUGCUACUUCAUGAUCUAAGCCCCAAGAAUGGACACCCCUUUCUAAGCAUCUACCCAGGGAAGAAGGAAUCCUUCCAUACCAAGAGACUGGGCUGUGUUUCUGGAAACAUGAGCCUUUAAAAGUGAAGCCGCAGCAUAAAACAAGAUCAAACAUAAAAAGAGCUUUUUCUCUCACCUUAUUUUAGUUCCAGAGCUCUAUAUUUAAUGAAAUAUUUAAUGAAAUAUCAGGAUGGAAAAGGCAAAGAGAGAUAAGUUGCCCUGCUCCUGAGACUGUGCCACACUUCAGCCCAAAGCAAAUUAAAUCAGGGGCUCCUUAGACUGAAGUCCUGGGAUGAGAAGCAGAGAGCAAGCUAACGGGUUCUGGGCUGAGCCCUGGCCAACUGUGGUAAUAAAACAUAGCGCGUGGACAUGGAGACUCUGGAACAAAAAUACCUUGUAGCUAUUAUUUUCAUGAGUCUCUCUGCCCAUCCACACACCUCCUCUCCCGUUCUUUUAAUCUGGAGCUACUGAGAAUCAGUAUUUUUCUCACCUUUGUAAUAUGAGAAACAAGUUAAUUAAAAUCAAUCCGAACUCCA